GACGUAAGGAGCGAGCGUUGUCCGGAUUCAUUGGGCGUAAAGCGCACGUAGGCGGACCGCUAAGUCGGAUGUGAAAUCCCUCGGCUUAACCGAGGAAGUGCAUUCGAAACUGACGGUCUUGAGUAUGGAAGAGGGUCGCGGAAUUCCCGGUGUAGAGGUGAAAUUCGUAGAUAUCGGGAGGAACACCAGUGGCGAAGGCGGCGACCUGGGCCAAUACUGACGCUGAGGUGCGAAAGCGUGGGGAGCAAACAGG
rnacentral:rRNA from 1 species